rnacentral:rRNA from 1 species
CGAAAGACGGGUGAGAAUCCCGUCCACCGAUUGACUAAGGUUUCCAGAGGAAGGCUCGUCCGCUCUGGGUUAGUCGGGUCCUAAGCUGAGGCCGAUAGGCGUAGGCGAUGGAUAACAGGUUGAUAUUCCUGUACCACCUAUAAUCGUUUUAAUCGAUGGGGGGACGCAGUAGGAUAGGCGAAGCGUGCGAUUGGAUUGCACGUCUAAGCAGUAAGGCUGAGUAUUAGGCAAAUCCGGUACUCGUUAAGGCUGAGCUGUGAUGGGGAGAAGACAUUGAGUCUUCGAGUCGUUGAUUUCACACUGCCGAGAAAAGCCUCUAGAUAGAAAAUAGGUGCCCGUACCGCAAACCGACACAGGUAGUCAAGAUGAGAAUUCUAAGGUGAGCGAGCGAACUCUCGUUAAGGAACUCGGCAAAAUGACCCCGUAACUUCGGGAGAAGGGGUGCUCUUUAGGGUUAACGCCCAGAAGAGCCGCAGUGAAUAGGCCCAAGCGACUGUUUAUCAAAAACACAGGUCUCUGCUAAACCGUAAGGUGAUGUAUAGGGGCUGACGCCUGCCCGGUGCUGGAAGGUUAAGAGGAGUGGUUAGCUUCUGCGAAGCUACGAAUCGAAGCCCCAGUAAACGGCGGCCGUAACUAUAACGGUCCUAAGGUAGCGAAAUUCCUUGUCGGGUAAGUUCCGACCCGCACGAAAGGCGUAACGAUUUGGGCACUGUCUCAACGAGAGACUCGGUGAAAUCAUAGUACCUGUGAAGAUGCAGGUUACCCGCGACAGGACGGAAAGACCCCGUGGAGCUUUACUGUAGCCUGAUAUUGAAAUUCGGCACAGCUUGUACAGGAUAGGUAGGAGCCUUUGAAACGUGAGCGCUAGCUUACGUGGAGGCGCUGGUGGGAUACUACCCUAGCUGUGUUGGCUUUCUAACCCGCACCACUUAUCGUGGUGGGAGACAGUGUCAGGCGGGCAGUUUGACUGGGGCGGUCGCCUCCUAAAAGGUAACGGAGGCGCUCAAAGGUUCCCUCAGAAUGGUUGGAAAUCAUUCAUAGAGUGUAAAGGCAUAAGGGAGCUUGACUGCGAGACCUACAAGUCGAGCAGGGUCGAAAGACGGACUUAGUGAUCCGGUGGUUCCGCAUGGAAGGGCCAUCGCUCAACGGAUAAAAGCUACCCCGGGGAUAACAGGCUUAUCUCCCCCAAGAGUUCACAUCGACGGGGAGGUUUGGCACCUCGAUGUCGGCUCAUCGCAUCCUGGGGCUGUAGUCGGUCCCAAGGGUUGGGCUGUUCGCCCAUUAAAGCGGUACGCGAGCUGGGUUCAGAACGUCGUGAGACAGUUCGGUCCCUAUCCGUCGUGGGCGUAGGAAAUUUGAGAGGAGCUGUCCUUAGUACGAGAGGACCGGGAUGGACAUACCUCUGGUGUACCAGUUGUCGUGCCAACGGCAUAGCUGGGUAGCUAUGUGUGGACGGGAUAAGUGCUGAAAGCAUCUAAGCAUGAAGCCCCCCUCAAGAUGAGAUUUCCCAACUUCGGUUAUAAGAUCCCUCAAAGAUGAUGAGGUUAAUAGGUUCGAGGUGGAAGCAUGGUGACAUGUGGAGCUGACGAAUACUAAUCGAUCGAAGACUUAAUCAA